GAGAAAGAAUGAGAAAGAAAGAAAACAGUAGAAUGAAAGUUAUGAAACUUAGAGGCCCUUUAGGCCGGAGUUUAUGCCAGUGUCCGUGACUACAAGCGGUUAAGAGAACCAGACUUUAACCCCACCACCCGCAACCCGGACAGGACGCUAGUCCGUCACGACGUUAACUCUCCCAGAUGUUUCCUGUACCCAGUUUAAACCGAGUAGAUUGAAACAGCGUGAACUCAAAUGCGUCACUGAACAGCACGAGGCACCAUCCAACCCGGGAAUCGAAGCAAUGAUUCUACGAUUGUCAGUCCAACAUCCUAAGCACGAUGUCACACACCUUCGUACAGAAAACGAAAGAGAUUAGAACGUCAUAAGAACUAAUAUAGGGAGAACGAAAGAAGGAAUAUUUCCGCGGCUCUCAUAAACUAUAACAGCGAGACUGUCCUAAAAUGAAGAAUUUAAAGCAUUGCAAUUGCUCUUUGUUCUAUGUACAUGGGGAGCUGACGGUACAGAGUUGUACUUGUGCGACCAACACAACAGUUUGCGGUUAAAGUCGCGAAGUUUACAGUUGAAGUCGUGAAGUUUAUAAUUUUACUAUUUGUAAUAAAAUCUAUAAAUCAUA